AAGUUUUCUGACCUAUAGGAUUUGUGGAUUUUCUUUAGUAGUCUGUCAAACACUAUUUGUAGUUUUGUUCCUUCAAAGUUUCUUGGCUUAAAAACAUAUAACAGAAUGAGAGUUUUGACGGUCAUUCUCCUUGCUAGUUUUCUGACACUAGCUAUCAUUGCUAUAUUGACUGAAGCACAGUGUCCAAUCUGUCCUAGACUGUACGCUCCAGUGUGUGCCAGUAAUGGACAAACAUACACUAAUGAAUGUAUUAUGGAAUUUAGUUCCUGCAUAAGCCAUCUUGGUCUUACACUGGUGCACAUGGGCCCUUGUUAGCCACAGUCCAAGGCGAAUUCUCGAGUUUCUGUUGCUGGAGAUUGUACAAAAUGUUAACAGUGAAUGCUUAAUUAAUAUAAUGGAAGACGUUUGUUUCUUUGUUGUAUUUUCACAUGCCCUUUUUUUUGUUAGUUAAAGUCUUUAAAAAUUAUAAUCCAAAAGCUAACAGAAUGCAUAAACUUGUCCGCCUGUUCUAAUUGCUAGAUCUCUAUUUUGAAAAGAACACGCAAUGAAAAGAUCUUAUAGUGACAAUAGAAAUAAACAGUCGCUUUAUCAUAUG
rnacentral:sRNA from 1 species